rnacentral:rRNA from 1 species
AACGCGAAGAACCUUACCCAGGCUUGACAUGCAGAGGAAGUAUUUAGAGAUAGAUGCGCCCUACGGGGCCUCUGCACAGGUGCUGCAUGGCUGUCGUCAGCUCGUGCCGUGAGGUGUUGGGUUAAGUCCCGCAACGAGCGCAACCCUUAUCGUUAGUUGCCAACGUGAAAGACGGGAACUCUAACGAGACUGCCUGGGUUAACCAGGAGGAAGGUGAGGAUGACGUCAAGUCCGCAUGGCCCUUAUGUCUGGGGCUACACACGUGCUACAAUGGUCGGUACAAAGGGCAGCCAAACCGAAAGGUGGAGCAAAUCUCAGAAAGCCGAUCGCAGUUCGGAUUGUCGUCUGCAACUCGACGACAUGAGGUUGGAAUUGCUAGUAAUGGCGUGUCAGCAACAACGCCGGAAUACGUUCCCGGGUCUGACCACG